rnacentral:rRNA from 1 species
UAGGGANUCUUCCACAAUGGGCGCAAGCCUGAUGGAGCAACACCGCGUGAGUGAAGAAGGGUUUCGGCUCGUAAAGCUCUGUUGUUAAAGAAGAACACGUAUGAGAGUAACUGUUCAUACGUUGACGGUAUUUAACCAGAAAGUCACGGCUAACUACGUGCCAGCAGCCGCGGUAAUACGUAGGUGGCAAGCGUUAUCCGGAUUUAUUGGGCGUAAAGAGAGUGCAGGCGGUUUUCUAAGUCUGAUGUGAAAGCCUUCGGCUUAACCGGAGAAGUGCAUCGGAAACUGGAUAACUUGAGUGCAGAAGAGGGUAGUGGAACUCCAUGUGUAGCGGUGGAAUGCGUAGAUAUAUGGAAGAACACCAGUGGCGAAGGCGGCUACCUGGUCUGCAACUGACGCUGAGACUCGAAAGCAUGGGUAGCGAACAGGAUUAGAUACCCUGGUAGUCCAUGCCGUAAACGAUGAGUGCUAGGUGUUGGAGGGUUUCCGCCCUUCAGUGCCGGAGCUAACGCAUUAAGCACUCCGCCUGGGGAGUACGACCGCAAGGUUG